CCUACGGGUGGUAGCAGUGGGGGAUAUUGCACAAUGGGGGAAACCCUGAUGCAGUGACGCCGCGUGAAUGACGAAGGCCUUCGGGUCGUAAAGUUCUUUCGACAGGGAAGAAAAUGCCUAUAAGUAACUGUGUAUGUAUUGACGGUACCUGUAUAAGCAGCCCCGGCUAACUCCGUGCCAGCAGCCGCGGUAAUACGGAGGGGGCGAGCGUUGUUCGGAGUGACUGGGCGUAAAGAGCACGUAGGCGGUGUUGUAAGUCAUUAGUCAAAGACUAGAGCUCAACUUUAGUAAGGCUAGUGAUACUAUAAUACUAGAGUAUCAGAGAGGAUUGCAGAAUUCCUGGUGUAGCGGUGAAAUGCGUAGAUAUCAGGAGGAAUACCGUUAGCGAAGGCGGCAAUCUGGCUGGAAACUGACGCUGAGGUGCGAAAGCGUGGGUAGCAAACAGGAUUAGAUACCCCAGUAGUC
rnacentral:rRNA from 1 species